AGUAGAGACGACACAGAUAAACAUUAGCAUUUUAUAUAUGUAGAUUUUCAAUUAAAAAAAAUACGACUUUAUAAAUUUGUGAAAGCUUUAAAAAUGUACAGGAAAAAUCUAAAAUAACAAUAGAAUUAAAAUUUGAAUAACAUUGCAUUUAAAUACUACCAAUAUAAAGCAAAAAUAUAUUAAAAACACCCUGUGUAUUUCUACGAACUGACUUUAAAAUAUGAUCUACUACUACUGUAACCCGUAUGUUUUAUAAAAAAAAUUCAGUGAAAAUUUCAAAGUGAAGACCUAACAUGAUUAUUUUUGGAACAUUGGGCCACUCUGUGGUAAUAUAAAUUAUUCUUUUUUACCUACUAAAAAAAUAUUCUUAAUUAGCUGAUUAAUUAUUAGACACGACAAAAAAAUAUUUAAAAUGAAAAAAGAAAUGACUGUAAACGUAGUGCUCGGAACCUCUAAAAUGCUUACAAAAUAUAGAUGUAUACAAAGCAAUUUUAUAACAAAAAUACAGCAAUAGAUUACAAUAAUAUUAUAUAGAAAACAGAUAAUAACAUUUGUACAGAAAUAGUACAAUAUUAUCGAAUAAAAAUGGCGUCGGCGAUGGCUAUGAAAUGAAGAUCGCUGUAAUUUUAUAUAUAAAAUUAUAUGGGAAAUGUAAUUGAUAUUCAUUUCCAAGCCAACUGGACGCCGUUUUUUUUUCGAUCAUACGGUAUAUUGUUUUAUUAGGAGUAAAAAUGAUACUUUUUGCGGCGAGACUGUACGUUCGACAGUACAGGCGAGACACUAAAAGUCAUUUUUACUCCGAAUAGAACAUGUUCUUUUUUCAAACGUCACAAAUGUUUUAAACAAUUUCAAACGUUGCAAAAAUACAAAAAUAUUUAAAAGUAAUAUGUUGUAAGUAAUUAUAUAUCGAGAAACUAUGGUUACGCUUGUUAAAUUUGUCAGUUUGAUAAUAAUUUUUGCACUUUUGUGCUUAAGCGCACAAGCGUAAAAAUUACUUUUUUAUAUGUCAAUCUUUGUUGUCAUGUCGCAAAAAUUAAGAGUUUUGUGACGUUUGAAAAAAAGAUAUUGUAUUGAAAUACUUUAAUGAUAUCUCUUUGAUAAUAAUAGGGAUCUUCAAAUUUAUUUUGCUUAAUAAAUGUUAUAAAGUAAUAUUCAUUUUCAACAAAAAAUAUUUAGAAAUAUUUCGUAUUACAGAUAGCAAAGUAAGAAGAUAAAAACCAAUAAACAAAUUUAUUGAAACAAUAACACUAUUAAUGAAGCUAACGAACCUUGGUGAGGCAUUGAGGAGUAUUGAGUCUGCUUUAUGUUGAGUGAAAGAGGAAAGUGAGGAGUAGGAGCAACUGUUG